UCUCGCCAAGUUGACCCAGUAUUUGGCCACCUUGUGCGGCGGGUGACUAUGGUGUCCCGGUAAGUGGCAGGCGUCCCAGGAAUGGGAGAAGAGAUGGGUAUAUAUAUGUAUUACCUGAAAGCUGAGGGCAGCUGUUGCCUUGGGUCAUGCAGAGAAUAUGCAGCCACACCCAUGCCUUAGAUGUGUGUAAUUCAAGUGGAGAAGACACAAGCCAGUGGUCGCAAUAUCAACACUUGAGUGUUCUGUAAACGAUUAAUGUUUGCCAUGUGCAAGGAAAUGGCAGAGGCAAAAUGCUGCCAGCUUAUGGAAAAAUAAUUUAUAAAAAAAUGAUGGGU
rnacentral:lncRNA from 1 species